CAGGAUGAACGCUGGCGGCGUGCUUAACACAUGCAAGUCGAACGGAGAUAAGAGAAAGCUUGCUUUUCUUAUCUUAGUGGCGGACGGGUGAGUAACGCGUGGGUAACCUACCCUGUACAGGGGGAUAGCAGUUGGAAACGACUGAUAAAACCGCAUAAAACGGCAGUACCGCAUGGUACAACCGUCAAAUAUUCAUAGGUACAGGAUGGGCCCGCGUCUGAUUAGCUAGUUGGUGGGGCAACGGCCUACCAAGGCGACGAUCAGUAGCCGGCCUGAGAGGGUGAACGGCCACAUUGGGACUGAGACACGGCCCAAACUCCUACGGGAGGCAGCAGUGGGGAAUAUUGGACAAUGGGGGAAACCCUGAUCCAGCGACGCCGCCGUGAGUGAAGAAGUAUUUCGGUAUGUAAAGCUCUAUCAGCAGGGAAGAUGAUGACGGUACCUGACUAAGAAGCACCGGCUAAAUACGUGCCAGCAGCAGC
rnacentral:rRNA from 1 species